rnacentral:lncRNA from 1 species
GCGCAUGUACGGGGCUGUGCAUUGGCGUACGGAGGUGUGGGUGCGGCUGUGGUGCCAGGAGGCCGUACGGCGUUGUGGGUUGGAGCCUGGCUGCGGCGCUAGAGGUAAAAACCCUAGGGUUUCUAUUUCUAAAGUGUUUUGGGAUGUUUGGGCCGAUGUAAUUUUAGGCUAUAAUUGGUAUUAAUUUUGGGUUUGUAAUGUUUUGCGUUUUGGGUUAUGUAGUUUGGACUUUGAUGGACUAUUAAUUAGCUUUAUUACGGGCUCGGGCAGAUUUGGGCUUAUACAAUUGCCCCUCUUUACUUAGUGUCGUGUAACGAGAAUAGAGCAAAAACUUUAAAGAUGACCAAUUUUGCCCGGUCUCACCGAAUCAUAACUUCUUUGGUGCUCUUUUUCUCUGAGGUAGCUUUGUUCCAAUCCUCUGCAACUUCAGGGGUAUAGGAAUUGUCGCUCUAAUCCACUCCACUGUAACUCUAGAGAGACUAGCCUUGUAGCUUUUAAUCUUCUCUACUGCAACUGCUCCACUGCAACUUUAGGGAGAUAAAGUUUGCGCAUUUUUAUCCUGCUCUACUGCAACUUCAGAGAGAUAAGGAUUGCGGCUCCGAUCUGCUCUACUGCAACUUCAGAGGGAUAAGAUCUGCUAUUUUCAGUUUGCUCCAUUGCAACUGCUCCACUGCAACUUCAGGGAGAUAAAACUUGUAAUUUUCAGCCUGUUACCCUACUGCUUAGGGGGUUAAGGCUCACCGUCUUUGAUUUGCUCCACUACUGCUUAGGGAGACAAGAUCUACAAUCUUCGGCCUGUUACCCUACUACUUAGGAGGUUAAGGCUCAUUGUCUUCGAUUCGCUCCACUAAUGCUUAGGAAGAUAAGAUCUGUGAAUUCACCGAUGUUGUUGCAUCGUCCUCUAGGGACAUGAUCUGUAGAAUCGGUUUCAUACACCUAUGCUUAUACCAAA